rnacentral:misc_RNA from 1 species
GUGAAUCAUCAAAUUUUUGAACGCAUAUUGCACUCUCUGGUAUUCCGGAGAGUAUGCCUAUUUGAGGGUCAUUUGAAAUAAUAUAAAUUUCGAGAUUUCCUUGGAAUCAAAAAUGGGACGGUCCAGCUUUCGUGUGGUGGUCGCCUAAAAUGCAAGACAAGCCCCUUUCUUCGGUUUCGUGAUACUUCCUGUUUCCUCGUUACUUCACAAGGUAUUUU